UCCGGAAUUCCUGGGGUGUAAAGGGAGCGUAGGCGGUUUUUACAAGUCUGAUGUGAAAGCCCGGGGUUAAAUACGGUAUUGCAUUGGAAACUGUAGAACUAGAGUGUCGGAGGGGUAAGUGGAAUUCCUAGUGUAGCGGUGAAAUGCGUAGAUAUUAGGAGGAACACCAGUGGCGAAGGCGGCUUACUGGACGAUUACUGACGCUGAGGCUCGAAAGCGUGGGGAGCAAACAGGAUUAGAUACCCUGGUAGCCCACGCCGUAAACGAUGAAUACUAUGUGUCGGCUUCCAUAGGGAGUCAGUGCCGCAAAA
rnacentral:rRNA from 1 species